rnacentral:rRNA from 1 species
AUUGAACGCUGGCGGCAGGCCUAACACAUGCAAGUCGAACGAGUGGCGGACGGGUGAGUAAUGUCUGGGAAACUGCCUGAUGGAGGGGGAUAACUACUGCAAACGGUAGCUAAUACCGCAUACCAUACGAUGUGCCCAGAUGGGAUUAACUAGUAGGUGGGGUAACGGCUCACAUAGGCGACGAUCCCUAGCUGGUCUGAGAGGAUGACCAGUAACACGGGAACUGGGACAAGGUCCAGACUCCUACGGGAGGAGGAAGUGGGGAAUAGUGCACAAUGGGCGCAAGCCUAAUGCAGACAUGCCGCGUGUAUGAAGAAGGCUUUAGGGUUGUAAAGUAUUUUCAGCGGGGAGGCGUUACCCGCAGAAGAAGCACCGGCUAACUCCGUGCCAGCAGCCGCGGUAAUAC